GACGAACGCUGGCGGCGCGCCUAACACAUGCAAGUCGAGCGAGCGGCGAACGGGUGAGUAACGCGUAGGAACCUGCCUAUUACAACGGGAUAGCCUCGGGAAACCGGGAUUAAUACCGUAUAGUAAGAGAUGGCCGCGCGUAUGAUUAGUUAGUUGGUGGGGUAACGGCCUACCAAGACGACGAUCAGUAACCGGCCUUAGAGGGGGAACAGUCACACUGGAACUGAGACACGGACCAAACUGCGACGGGAGGCAGCAGUGGGGAAUCUUGCACAAUGGGGGCAACCCUGAUGCAGCCAUGCCGCGUGUGUGAAGAAGGUCUUCGGAUUGUAAAGCACUUUAAGUUGGGAGGCGUUACCAACAGAAGAAGCACCGGCUAACUUCGUGCCAGCCGCCGCGGUAAUUC
rnacentral:rRNA from 1 species